rnacentral:rRNA from 1 species
AGAGUUUGAUCCUGGCUCAGAUUGAACGCUGGCGGCAUGCUUUACACAUGCAAGUCGAACGGCAGCACAGGGAGCUUGCUCCCGGGUGGCGAGUGGCGCACGGGUGAGUAAUACAUCGGAACGUGUCCUGUUGUGGGGGAUAACUGCUCGAAAGGGUGGCUAAUACCGCAUGAGACCUGAGGGUGAAAGCGGGGGAUCGCAAGACCUCGCGCAAUUGGAGCGGCCGAUGCCCGAUUAGCUAGUUGGUGAGGUAACGGCUCACCAAGGCGACGAUCGGUAGCUGGUCUGAGAGGACGACCAGCCACACUGGGACUGAGACACGGCCCAGACUCCUACGGGAGGCAGCAGUGGGGAAUUUUGGACAAUGGGGGCAACCCUGAUCCAGCCAUGCCGCGUGCAGGAUGAAGGCCUUCGGGUUGUAAACUGCUUUUGUCAGGGACGAAAAGGACCGUGUUAAUACCAUGGUCUGCUGACGGUACCUGAAGAAUAAGCACCGGCUAACUACGUGCCAGCAGCCGCGGUAAUACGUAGGGUGCAAGCGUUAUCCGGAAUUAUUGGGCGUAAAGGGCUCGUAGGCGGUUCGUCGCGUCCGGUGUGAAAGUCCAUCGCUUAACGGUGGAUCCGCGCCGGGUACGGGCGGGCUUGAGUGCGGUAGGGGAGACUGGAAUUCCCGGUGUAACGGUGGAAUGUGUAGAUAUCGGGAAGAACACCAAUGGCGAAGGCAGGUCUCUGGGCCGUUACUGACGCUGAGGAGCGAAAGCGUGGGGAGCGAACAGGAUUAGAUACCCUGGUAGUCCACGCCGUAAACGGUGGAUGCUGGAUGUGGGGCCCGUUCCACGGGUUCCGUGUCGGAGCUAACGCGUUAAGCAUCCCGCCUGGGGAGUACGGCCGCAAGGCUAAAACUCAAAGAAAUUGACGGGGGCCCGCACAAGCGGCGGAGCAUGCGGAUUAAUUCGAUGCAACGCGAAGAACCUUACCUGGGCUUGACAUGUUCCCGACGGUCGUAGAGAUACGGCUUCCCUUCGGGGCGGGUUCACAGGUGGUGCAUGGUCGUCGUCAGCUCGUGUCGUGAGAU